rnacentral:lncRNA from 1 species
AAUAAGAGACACCACUGCACCACAUACACCAAGGAGAAGCCAUGUGAGCACAGAGAGAGAAGGCAGCCAUCUACAAUCCAAGGAGAGAGCCUUUACCAGAUACCAACCCUGCUAGUAGCUUGAUCUUUGACUUCCAGUCUCCAGAACUGCUGAGAAUUAUCUACAUAUUCUGCAUUGAAGCCCCUUGUCAAAUUUUAAAUGUGAAAGUCUGAAAGCAGCUAUUCUGAAAAUCUCCAAUAUAAGAAGGCUUCUCCAUGGACAGACCUCCACCAUGCAUUAAAUGCUAAAACACUUGGCUUACGGGCUGAGAGGAGGGAAGCAAAAAGGAGUAAAGCCUGUGGGAAGAAGGCUGAGGUCGGAUUUCCUGAAGCUAUUAAUUAACGAUACUAGAAGACCUUGAAUAUUCAUAGAAUUGCAUAUUGUUAAAACAAGCACACCU